rnacentral:rRNA from 1 species
AUUGAACGCUGGCGGAAUGCUUUACACAUGCAAGUCGAGCGGCAGCGCGGGGCAACCUGGCGGCGAGCGGCGAACGGGUGAGUAACAUAUCGGAACGUACCCAGUGGUGGGGGAUAACACAUCGAAAGAUGUGCUAAUACCGCAUACGACCUGAGGGUGAAAGGGGGGGAUCGCAAGACCUCUCGCCGUUGGAGCGGCCGAUAUCGGAUUAGCUAGUUGGUGAGGUAAAGGCUCACCAAGGCGACGAUCCGUAGCUGGUCUGAGAGGACGACCAGCCACACUGGAACUGAGACACGGUCCAGACUCCUACGGGAGGCAGCAGUGGGGAAUUUUGGACAAUGGGGGCAACCCUGAUCCAGCCAUUCCGCGUGAGUGAAGAAGGCCUUCGGGUUGUAAAGCUCUUUCGGCAGGAACGAAACGGUGGGGGCUAAUAUCCUUCAUCAAUGACGGUACCUGAAGAAGAAGCACCGGCUAACUACGUGCCAGCAGCCGCCUAACAC